rnacentral:rRNA from 1 species
GAACGUACGCUGGCGGCACGCCUAACACAUGCAAGUCGAACGAAGUAGCAAUACUUAGUGGCAGACGGGUGAGUAACAUGUAGGUAUCUGCCCUUUGGCCUGGAAUAACACGAGGAAACUUGUGCUAAUACCGGAUAAGUCUUUACGGAGAAAGCUUUAUGCACCAUUGGAUGAGCCUGCACUUGAUUAGUUUGUUGGUGGGGUAAUGGCCUACCAAGACUGUGAUCAAUAGCUGAUUUGAGAGGAUGAUCAGCCACAUUGGGACUGAGACACGGCCCAAACUCCUACGGGAGGCAGCAGUGGGGAAUCUUGCACAAUGGAGGAAACUCUGAUGCAGCGAUGCCGCGUGAGUGAAGAGGGCCCUUGGGUUGUAAAGCUCUUUCGUCGGGGAAGAAAAUGACUGUACCCGAAUAAGAAGGUCCGGCUAACUUCGUGCCAGCAGCCGCGGUAAUACGAAGGGACCUAGCGUAGUUCGGAAUUACUGGGCUUAAAGAGUUCGUAGGUGGUUGAAAAAGUUGGUGGUGAAAUCCCAGAGCUUAACUCUGGAACUGCCAUCAAAACUUUUCAGCUAGAGUAUGAUAGAGGAAAGCAGAAUUUCUAGUGUAGAGGUGAAAUUCGUAGAUAUUAGAAAGAAUACCAAUUGCGAAGGCAGCUUUCUGGAUCAUUACUGACACUGAGGAACGAAAGCAUGGGUAGCGAAGAGGAUUAGAUACCCUCGUAGUCCAUGCCGUAAACGAUGUGUGUUAGACGUUGGAAAUUUAUUUUCAGUGUCGCAGCGAAAGCGAUAAACACACCGCCUGGGGAGUACGACCGCAAGGUUAAAACUCAAAUGAAUUGACGGGGACCCGCACAAGUAGUGGAGCAUGUGGUUUAAUUCGAAGAUACGCGCAGAACCUUACCAACACUUGACAUGUUCGUCGCGACUCUAAGAGAUUAGAGUUUUCGGUUCGGCCGGACGAAACACAGGUGCUGCAUGGCUGUCGUCAGCUCGUGUCGUGAGAUGUUGGGUUAAGUCCCGCAACGAGCGCAACCCUCACUUUUAGUUGCCAUCAUUAAGUUGGGCACUCUGAAAGAACUGCCAGUGAUAAGCUGGAGGAAGGUGGGGAUGACGUCAAGUCCUCAUGGCCCUUACGUGUUGGGCUACACACGUGCUACAAUGGUAUCUACAACAGGAAGCAAGACUGCGAAGUUAAGCAAAUCCCUAAAAGAUACCUCAGUUCGGAUUGCACUCUGCAACUCGAGUGCAUGAAGCUGGAAUUACUAGUAAUCGUGGAUCAGCGUGCCACGGUGAAUGCGUUCCCGGGUCUUGUACACACCGC